rnacentral:rRNA from 1 species
UACGUAGGGACCGAGCGUUGUCCGGAAUUAUUGGGCGUAAAGGGCUCGUAGGCGGUUUGUCGCGUCGGGAGUGAAAACCCAGGGCUUAACUCUGGGCUGGCUUUCGAUACGGGCAGACUAGAGUGUGGUAGGGGAGAUCGGAAUUCCUGGUGUAGCGGUGAAAUGCGCAGAUAUCAGGAGGAACACCGGUGGCGAAGGCGGGAUCCUGGGCCAGUACGUG